rnacentral:rRNA from 1 species
GACGAACGCUGGCGGCGUGCCUAAUACAUGCAAGUCGAACGCAGUGGGGACGGGUGAGUAACACGUGGGUAACCUCCCAUCAGAGGGGAUAACACUUGGAAACAGGCGCUAAACCGCUACUGAUGGAUGGACCCGCGGUGCAUUAGCUAGCUGGUGGGGUAACGGCUCACCAAGGCCACGAUGCCUAGCUGAUCUUAGAGGGUGACCGGCCACACUGGGACUGAGACACGGCCCAGACUCCUACGGGAGGCAGCAGUAGGGAAUCUUCGGCGAUGGACGAAAGUCUGACCGAGCAACGCCGCGUGAGUGAAGAAGGUUUGCGGAUCGUAAAACUCUGUUGUUAGAGAAGCGGUAUCUAACCAGAAAGCCACGGCUAACUACGUGCCAGCAGCCGCGGUAAUUC